CUUUCUGGAUUCGUAAGCUUCGUAUCUCUGUCAAAGGCGACGGUCGACGGUCGCACGGUAUCUUUAGUGUCUUCCAAUAAAUGCUCGAUACUUCUUUACCGCGUCGCGUGUUUUACGCCGGGAUUAUCGUCAUCAUCGUUAGUGAUCGACAUCGUCAUCGUCAGUGAAAGGAUUUGGAGAACAAUUGGCGGACACGCACGAGGGAUGCACUUCCGACGGAUGCAGAUGCAGCACCGGAGGACCCGGUUCGAGCUGAGCGGGGUCGGUUGGAAGGUUUCACCGACUACCUCUAUAUUCCUCUGUUUAACUCCUUCCCCCUCCCCCUCCUCCUCUCUCCUCCUCCUCCUCCUCCUCCGUUCUGCCGUGCGGACGAAAGACGAGGACGAAGCCGUCAGCACGAGACUCGAAUUACGACCGUAAAGGGCUAAUUUAGCGAUCCGGCCGUGGCCGAGCCUGAAGCUACUUCACCGGGUGGAGCAUAAUUAUGAGGGGAUAAUUUGCCGUAUAAUUAUAAUAAAGAGAGAAAUCUGACGCACACACAGAGAAGUCGCGUACGUGAAUAAAGAAUAAAAGAUAACUCGAUGUCUUACCGAUCAUCGUACUUGAGACUUGUCAUUGUUAUUGACGUUGUUAUUAUUAAUGUAUACCACUACUUCGCUCGACGACUUAGUUCUCUCACAAUGGUACGAGUACCGUCGAAUGAAAUAUGACCUUUUAAUUCUGCAAGAUACGUCGGCGGGAACCGAAAAUUGCUCGCCGCCGCACGUGACACUCGCGGUAAUCUCGUUCGUGUUAAUCGAUUUUCCGAUCGUCGGCAGUCUUCUCCAGUUUUCUCACUCACGGAGAAACAAAGAGAUUUCGCGACAGAGCCGCGAUUGUUCGUUGCUCGCGCGUAUAAUUGUUCGCGAUACGGAACUCGAAUCAUAUUCUUCUGUCGCAUUUCGGGAAAUUGCGACACUUUUAAAACUUUUAAAUGACUUUUCAACAAUCCUCACUUUACGACCGCAUCUUUGCAUUCUGUGUAAAUAAAUCGAUACUUGCAACACCGACGAGAGAGAACCGAUCGACGAGAGAGAAUAUCGGAAAGAUACUUUUAGUUCGCUCACACAAUCUAUAAUCAUCCAAUUGUUUCGACAAUCAUAUGAUUGAUUUUACAUACGCAAAACAUCUCAUUUUCUCGCCAGAGAAUAAGUAAUAAAAACAAUCGACGAUGUUGCAAAGAGAUAUCGAUACUAUAUUAUAUCGCGAUAACAAAGUAUCACGUGUAAAACAGCAGCGGAUCGUAUUGUAAUUAUCGAAUUAUGCAUAAAAACAACGCAAAAGAGUGGAAUUAUAAGACGCGGAUUAUUUUAUAAAUCUUCGCGUAAUGCGCACGCAGACACGCACAUUGUAAAUGAUCGCGCGACAAUUUUCUAUGAAAUCUGCUUCGUUCGUCGUACUUCUCUCGGUAUAGGUUCGACAAUUGCGGCGAUAUUUCGGUAGCCACGACUCGCGGCGAGCCGAUUAUAACCCGUUUGUUAUGUUUACACAUUCCCGUCGCGAUUACGUCG
rnacentral:lncRNA from 1 species